CACCAAUUGCUGCUUGUCCAGGUACAAAAGCUAAAGAAUUGACUGCCUAUUGUAUAUAUCAACUCAGUGAUCACGAGUUCUAAUACUCUUGAAGAUAUAUAUAUUUUUUUUGUUUUGGGUUCACCAGCUACAAAAGCUAAAGAAUCUCCUGGGAAAGGGUCAUGAGGAUACAAAUGAGAACAGCGGCGAUGGAAAAUCCGAGAAUGAGAUCACAACUGAAUCAAACGAAAGGCCCAGCCAAAUUUAUGUACCUUCUAGUGAUGAUAGGAGCAGAAAUAUUGAGAGCACCGUCAUCAUGAAAGAUUUUGCUGCGACUAACGUGGAAGAACAGACUGAAUCAUCAGGAAAUUGGUGCAAAUUUGAAUCCGGUUUUCUGGAUGAGACAAGUUCUACAUUGCCG
rnacentral:lncRNA from 1 species